CAGCGCCCCUUCCUCCGCCCACCCAGCUGCAACAUGGCAGCCGAGUGAGGGCCUCGGGGCGGCGU
rnacentral:pre_miRNA from 1 species